CAGCUUGAUGAUGAUGAUCUUGUAUCUUAUAUUCUUACUGGACUUUAUGCUGAAUAUAACCCGCUCAUUGAGGCGGUAAGUGCAAGGAUUGAUCCUAUCAGUUUAAGUGAUCUUUAUGCUCAACUUCUAUUUGCUGAGG